rnacentral:rRNA from 1 species
UACGGAGGGUGCAAACGUUGCUCGGAAUUAUUGGGCGUAAAGCGCACGUAGGCGGCCUUUCAAGUCGGAUGUGAAAGCCCUGGGCUCAACCCAGGAAGUGCACCCGAAACUGAUUGGCUUGAAUGCCGGAGGGGCCCAGAGAAUUCCCGGUGUAGAGGUGAAAUGCGCAGAUAUCGGGAGGAACACCAAUGGCGAAGGCAGCUCGCUGGGACGGUACUGACGCUGAGACGCGAAAGCGUGGGGAGCAAACGGG